CGUGCCUAAGAAAUGCAAGUCGAGCGAGGUUAGAGAGCUUGCUCUCGAAGCCUAGCGGCGAACGGUCGCGUAACACGUAAGCAACCUGCCCCAAAGCGGGGGAUAGUCCUCCGAAAGGAGGAUUAAUACCGCAUGUGGAUGGUUCUUCGUAUGUAGAACUAUCUAAAGCAGUAAUGCACUUUGGGAUGGGUUUGCGGCCUAUCAGCUAGUUGGCGAGGUAACGGCUCACCAAGGCGAUGAUGGGUAGCUGGUCUGAGAGGAUGGUCAGCCGGACUGGGACUGAGAUACGGCCCAGAUUCCUACGGGGGGCAGCAAUUAGGAAUCUUGCGCAAUGGGCGAAAGCCUGACGCAGCGACGCCGCGUGACUGAUGAAGUCUUUCGGGAUGUAAAGGUCUUUUUUGGGGGAAGAAGGAUGUGACGGUACCCCAAGAAUAAGCCCCGGCUAACUACGUGCCAGCAGCCGCGGUAAUACGUAGGGGGCGAGCGUUGUCCGAAUUCACUGGGCGUAAAGCGCGCGUAGGCGGACUUUUAAGUUGUGGGUGAAAUGUUGAGGUUUAACCUCGGAAUUGCCUGCAAAACUGGGAGUCUUGAGGUAUGGAGAGGGAAGUGGAAUUCCAGGUGUAGUGGUGAAAUGUGUAGAUAUCUGGAGGAACACCCGUGGCGAAGGCGGCUUCCUGGCCAUAUCCUGACGCUGAGGUGCGAAAGCUAGGGGAGUGAAUGGGAUUAGAUAUCCCGGUAGUCCUAGCUGUAAAUGAUGGAUACUAGGUGUUAGAGGUAUUGAUUCCUCUAGUGCCGCAGUUAAUGCAUUAAGUAUCCCGCCUGGGGAGUACGAUCGCAAGGUUGAAACUCAAAGGAAUUGAUGG
rnacentral:rRNA from 1 species